CCGUAGCCCAAGAGAUCGGGAUAACACCUGGAAACAGAUGCUAAUACCGGAUAACAACAGAUGAUGCCUAUCAACUGUUUAAAAGAUGGUUCUGCUAUCACUCUUGGAUGGACCUGCGGUGCAUUAGCUAGUUGGUAGGGUAACGGCCUACCAAGGCGAUGAUGCAUAGCCGAGUUGAGAGACUGAUCGGCCACAUUGGGACUGAGACACGGCCCAAACUCCUACGGGAGGCAGCAGUG
rnacentral:rRNA from 1 species